rnacentral:rRNA from 1 species
UACGUAGGGGGCGAGCGUUGUCCGGAUUUAUUGGGCGUAAAGAGCUCGUAGGCGGUUUGGUAAGUCGGAUGUGAAAUCUCCAGGCUCAACCUGGAGGGGUCAUUCGAGACUGCUAUGACUAGAGUUCGGUAGAGGAGUGUGGAAUUCCUGGUGGAGCGGUGAAAUGCGCAGAUAUCAGGAGGAACACCCGUAGCGAAGGCGGCACUCUGGGCCGAUACUGACGCUGAGGGGCGAAAGCGUGGGGAGCGAACAGG